GGAGCACCUGAAUCUGCACACAAGGUGCAGAGAGUAGGGGGUGAGUCUACCAAUUCAGCGAGUAAUAACAGCAAAUAAAGCUCCGAAAGCAAGAAAACCCAAUAAUUACAAAAAGUAAGCUAAAACAGUGUAUAAUAGUAUCUACAACUGAACAACUUAACAACAAUAUAUAUAUAUAUAUGUGUGUGUGUGUGUGUGUGUGUGUGUGUGUGUGUGUGUGUGUGUGAUGCAGAUGCAGGGGUGCGAUGCAAUGCAUAUGAAGGUACAAUCCAGUACCCACUGCGGCGUGCAGCCCGAGCCACCCAUAUCAUUUAUUGUCGACGACGCUCACUGGGGGGUGUGUACAGACUCCGGAGGGGCUCCUACAGCCCAAGCGUACUAACCAGCCAUCUCGUGACGAAUAAUCAAGCCAUCCAUCUCGUGGCGAAUAAUCAAACCAUCCAUCUCGUGGCGAAAAUAAUUAACCAGACCAGUCCAUGUUACCUGACCGCUCAUAUCACACAGUGUCCCUGUUACCACUGUUUCUAAUCACCGUUGCGGCGCGCAACCCGAGCCACCCAAAUUCGGUCCAGAAAAUAUAUCAUAAGACCCUUGGGCAGUUAUAAACAAUGAUACUCAGCCGAACUACAUUUAAAAGAUAGCAUAUGAGUUCUGAACAUUUGAAGUACGGAUGGGUUUUGAAAACAAUGUCUUAAAACCAUGGACUGAUAGUAAAUGAUAUGCAAUCAUGCUAAAACAGUAAUACCAACUCCCGAAUGAUAUCACAGAUCGGCACUAGGCCCAAAACACGGCAGAAAGCCCAAUCAUAGUCACCACAGCGUGCGUAUCAUACGCCAAUAUAGUGUAAUUCUCACUCGAGAUGGACCACGUCACAAUCCCUCAACAGUAUCCGACCCCGCACUUAUCAUGGAGUGCGUGUCACGCCUCAAUAUAACGCUAUGAUGUGAAAGUCCGGGGUUUCAAACCCUCAGAACAGCAUUUACUAGCAUUACUCCCCUCGAACCGAUGAAAUCUCAAGCUCGCGACGCCUUUGCCUCUCAAUUCGGCCUCCUCACGCGUCGCAUCUAAACAAAAACAGAGCGAAUACAUCACAAAAAUGUCUAUGGGACAAUACCGAAUCGAGAACAAUCGAGAAAUAGCCAAAAUCUUGAAACUAGCAAAACCCGAGCCCCGGGAACGCUUCUCGAAAAAUUACUAAAUUCACAUUUUCAGAAUCCUCGUCUCGCUACGGGUCCGAACAUAUAAAAUUCAUCAAAAUCGGAGUCCAAAUGCUCCUCCAAAUUCCCAAAUUUUCUUUUAAAAUUUCAAGCCCUAGUUCUUCAAUAUUUACAGCCAAUUUCAGAGAAUUUAUGGUUGAAUCUUCAAUAAAAUGAUGUAAUAAGGUCACGAGACUUACCUCCAAUCACUUCCCGGUGAAAUCCCCUUCAAAAUCUGUCAAUGAGCUCUCAAGAUAUUGCAAAAAUGGAGGAAAAAGUGAAGGAGACUCGCGGAUGAAAUGAUAUUAAAAACCAUCUGCCCAGCUCUGACUUCCUCAAUGGGAUCGCGUAACAACUCCUGCGAUCGCAUAGUGCGUCCUUCCCAGGUCUCCCCGCUGACCUAUGCGAACGCAACCUCUUACCUGCGAUCGCAUACCUUCGCUGCCCAUACCUACACGAACGCAGCCUCCCCUCUGCGAUCGCAGAGAACCAUGACCUCAACCUAUGCGAUCGCAUCGCCCUUCUCGCGAUCGCAUUGAAAAAACUCAAGCCCACAGCCCAGCCUUCUAUGCGAUCGCAACGCCAUGCCUACGAUCGCAUAGAGCAACCCGUCUGCAACACUUGAAGUCUAAAAUCUGCUGCAGUUCUCAACUUCAAAACCAUCCGUCAACCAUCUGAAAUCACCCCGAGGCCCCCGGGACCUCAACCAAAAUACCAACACGACUUAUUACUCCAUUCAAACUUGCUGGCGCCAUAAAAACGCUAUCUUUAACAUCAAAAGUCACCAAAAUCAUUGAAUUCCAUUUUAAGAUAAACUAUAACUUUCCAAAUUCGCAUUCGAUCCAAAACCCAACCAAAAGACGUCCGAAUGACCUGAAAGUUUACUGGCAUAUCCAAAAUCGCCUAACAAAGCUACUACAACUCUCGGAAUUCCAUUCCGACCCUCGGAUCAAAAUCUUACCUAUCAACCGGAAUUCGCUAAAAUUCAAAUUUAGCCAAUUCAAGCCUAAUUCAUUAGCGGAACCCCAAAUUAAAUUCCGAUUUCUCUCCCAAGUCAUAAAUCACCAUUCAAAACUAGUCAAAUUGUCGGAAGUCCAUUCCGAGCCCUCUAACUCACAAGUCAACGUCCGGUUCGCUUUUCCAACUUAAGCUUUCCUUAAAGAGACUAUUUAUCUCAUUUAUAUCCAAUUUCAAUCCAAACCACUUAAAACUUACCAGACACAUAUAAUAACACACGGGGAAACAUAUGACGGGAAUAACGGGUCUGAAAUACAAGAGACAACGGGUUGGGUUGUCACAUUAAGUUUCUACAUAGUUAGCAUGGCAAUCUCAGUUUUAAUCUUGGCUUGUAGCCUAAGCAUUUCAACACAUGAUUCAUAUUCUUCACACUUCUCUAAAUAUCAAGAAUAGUAUGUUACUCACAUUGAGGAACAUCUCUCAUGUAUAUAUGUAUAUAAUUACAAAUUAAUUAAUGUGAAAUAACAAUAAAUACAUCAACCAACUCAAGUAUUAUCACACAUGCGGAAAUGCCAAUGGAGCUUAGUUUCUAUUAAAAAGGAGGUUUUACCCAUACAUACCUCAAUAUAUCUCUCCUUAAUCUUUACAAAGUUCUGGAACUCUUUGCACUUCGGUCUAUUAUGUAAGAAUUAAGAAUUGAAUCGAGAAUUAGAGACGAGAUUGAGAUUCUAGCUUGUUUGAGCAUAUUAUCAAAUACUACGGGUGUAUUGUGAUAUUAGAUCCUUUUUGAGAUAUAUUAUCAAACACUAAAUGUGCAUUAUGAUCUUACGUCCUUUUUUGAGAGAAAUUUCUAUCAUUUUAUAUCCCAAUAGCUUUAUUGUUAGUUCAAUACUCAAUGGUUUAAUAUGCAUGAAAGGAAUCUAUUCUUAUACCCAUGAUUUACCUCACUAAUGACCCCUUAUAGCUAAGUAUAAAAAUAAAAGCUGAGGUGAUGAAAUCUUACCUUUUGGGAUGAAGAUUUAGGUUCCUUCACUUGAUUACCUUCAAUGUUUUAGCAAGGUUUUGGAGUAAUUUUUGUGAGAUGCACUUUCCUCUCUUAUAUCCCUCUCUCUUACUCUAGAAGCAUAAGGAAUCGUGCUCAAAACGAGCUAUUACACCAAAUAUAACGAUAGGGGAUCAGGUUUAAAAUUUUAAAAAUUGGAUCCCUGAGUCAGAUCUGCGAUCGCUUUCUGUCCGCAUAAUGGACCGCAAAAUGCUCCCCAAAAACUGGACACACUGAUUGAGUUUGCGGCAAAAAUAAUGUCCACAUUCACGUUCUGCAGUUGCAGAAUGCACUAUAGAACUGACAUUCACAAAAUCCCAAGGAAAUUAUGUGAUGACUAUGCAGUCCGCAUUUUGGUUAUGCGAUUGCAUAAUUGACCGCAUAGUUGACGUCAAAUUUGGCCAACAUGCUGACUCGCUUUGUGGCGAUUGUGUAGUCCGCAUACCUGAUACGCGACCGCAUUCUCAACUGCAAAAUCACACUUUUCUGGAAAAUAUUAUUGCUUGAAUUUUUAAUGCAGUGAUUAAUUCAAAUGGUUCGAACCGCGACGAGCAAAUUUUUAUGAAUUUCUAACACUUGAACUAACUUGGCACUGCGAAACUUAGGUUUUGAGUGGAAAAUUUUAUGGGACCUUACACUUGUAGUAUUACAUCACGGUGAUUUUACGCUUUGCAGUAUUAAGUUACGACGAUAUUGCACCUUGUAGUAUUGUACGUUGAAUUUGUCAUAAAGUAAUUGACAUCAGUCCAAGUAAAAGAUUAUUUAGAGAAUAUAAGGAUUAUGUUAUUUCACAAGUGAUGAGUAAAUUCGGGAAGGUGAAAGUAGAAGCAAGUCAAAGAAAAUGAAUUUUCGUCCAAGUUUGACAUGUUGGGAUAAAGUACGGGUCGAAGGAUAAUACUCGAUUUUAUGGAUUAGUACCAUAUAAGGUGCCACAUGACCAUAAUAAUAAGAUGUAUAAGGUGCGUUAACCGUAAGUUAUAUUUUAAGUAAAUUUUGAGAUUAAUUAAGUAAUGAAAGCCAAUUAAGAGAUCAAAUCAAUUUGAAUUAGUAUAAAAGGGCUUAACGUGGUAGGCCUCAAUUGCAAAACUAUGACUCUUGAUUCAUGUAAUUAGGUGCCAAAUUUAAGGUAUUUAUGUGGCAUAGUAAUCCCACACAAGUGGGGCCCACAACCAAAGACAUAAGACCUCUCAUAAUUCAUUUUUUAUCUCUAGAAAGUAAUAUACAAAAUUCAGCAAAGUAUCUAUCAAGACUUCAAGAUACUACAAUCAGAUGUGAAUUUUCCAUACUAAAGACUAAGUGCCAAUUUUCAUACCAAAGACUAAGAAUCAUUUUCCAUGUCAAAGACACAUACGUUUGUCAUUCGGGAAGCUUUCAAAUUUCUUAUUUUCAAACAUUUCAAAUCAGAUUCUAAACCUUACAUUAAGCAACGUGAUGCCUACAAGUUUCAACAAUUCCAACGAGAAUUAGUUAUACAUUAGUAACGUAAGGUUUUGUAAUUUUAAGGGAGUAUGGUGCUAAUUUUCUCAAGAAUAUUAUACAGAUAUCUUUUUAUUUUAGGUAUAUUAAUACUACUUUUUCUUUCUUUUUGGUAUGAUCCUUACGAUACAAAUAAAAAGAGAAAAUGUACAACUUUCAUAAAUAACUCUAUUCAUGAAAAUGCUAGAGAUGACUUUGUUCUUUAUUCUCCAUGUGCCCUGUUAUUGUAUCAUCCAUUUAAGGGUCAUAGAAAAUGUUCAAAAUAUCUUUUUCAUGAUAUUACUCAAAGGCAUAAUGGUCUUAUGGCAUUUCAAGAGAUUUUAUUGAUGUACUUCUCAUGCAUUGCAUUUAUGUACAUUGACACAUGACCAGAUGGCGUUAUAUACGCGUAUAUAUGUAUAUUCAAUAUUUGGGAUAUGGGAAAAUGUUACGGCAUUAUAUACACACCACCACCUGAGCAACUGGUAUCUGUUGAUGAUUUUGCCCACAGUGACCGAGAUGAUAUGAUGGGAUGCCCUUAGCGGUUCGAUGAUGUUAUGAACACAUGUACCUAUGCACGACAUGACAUUCAUACGCAUAUGUAUUACACUAUAAUUAUUUCAUGAAUUACAAAGUUAUUCAGACUUACAGGUUGAGUCAUUUACUCUAUAUUUCUUCCAUGUCUGUUAUGUACUUAUUUAUGUGCCUUACAUACUCGCUACAUUAUUCGUACCGAUGUUUCUUUUACCUGGGGACGAUGCAUUUUAUGCCCCCAGGUCCCGAUAAACAGGUCGAGAGCCCUCCAAGUAGGCUAUCAACUCAAUGGAAGAUAUUAGUGCGCUCGAUUUGCUUGGGACUUGCUUGUUUGGUUAGUAUGAUGUAGACGUGUACUGUUUUGUAUGGAGGUAUUCUGUCCCGACCUUUAAGAAAAUUAUGUAUUCUUAGAGGCUUGUAGAUAGAUGUCAUGUACAUAAAAUAUUUUAUGGACUUGUCGGCCUAUGCUCAUUAUACGAGUGGUUAUUUUGGUCUUAUAUACCCGUAUGUCUUACGUAUAAGUUGGUAUCACGUGUUGUGUUCUACUUAUCUCAUGGUAGCCUUCCGGCUCAAUUAUCUAUGAUAAUAUGACAUGAAAUAUAUAUUAUGUUAGUACUCGGUUAAUAAAGGUACCGGGUGCCCCUCGCUGCCCAUCGGUUUGGAUCGUGACAAAAAUGGUAUCAGAGCAGCUUUGUCCUAGGGAGUCUACAAGACUAGAGUCUUGUUUAUGGGGCACCACACUUAUAUGAAGGAGGCUACAGAGCAUUUAGGACUGUCACUCUUACUUUUUACUCUUAGAUCGUGUGGUACACAGCUCACUUAUAAGAAUUAAAAUUCUGAAGUUCUAUUCUAUUCGUAAUAAGAUGAUACCUACAUCCGUAAAGAAGGUUGGAAAGAGGGAUGGUUGUGGAAGAGCUGAGUCAGAGGAAUUGAAUUUUUGUAUGAUACCUACGACAAAGUAAAUGUGUAGUCUUUGACAGAUCAUGGGUGUAAUGAAAGGUGUAAGCUUCCUGAUAAGAAGCCUUAAGGCAUGAAUACCUCUCCAUAUUAAUGGUGAAUUGUCACACCUCAUGUUUUACCUACACCCUCGAAAGGCUUAUAAGAGAGUUUUUUCAAUUUAAUGUGAAAAUAGAAACGAGAUUAUUUAUUUAUUAAAUUCAGAGUUUCCACUUGGGAUAAUUCAUGGUGUCCCAAGUCACAAAUUUAAAUCCCGAAUCGAGAAAAAUGUUGACUCAAUUUACGGUCUGCGAAACACAGAAAUCCGAGUAAGAAAUUCUAUUAACCCGAGAGAAGGUGUUAGGUAUUCCCGAGUUAGUGGUUCUAGCACGGUCACUAUGAUCAUGCUUGGCUUAUUAAAUUGUCUAUUACUUAUUUUAGAAACUAUGUGCAUUUACCUUUCACCACUUUUUAAUUAAGAAAAUUAUCUUGAAACGGGUCAGGCGCACGUGUACCCCAUUUGUUCGAUGCGUCAAAAAUUAUGUCACACGAUUGUACCCACAAUUAAUAAUGUUUUAUGAUUAUUAAGAAAAUUUGGCCAAAGUUGCGCAAACGCAUAUUCUGAUUUUGUUUUUAGAAAUCCUAAUCAUGUCGUGCGAACGUUACGCAACCAUGAUAGUAUAUUCGCGUGCCUAAAGCAAACUACGAACAUUUGUCAUUUUUAUCUAGGGUGCGAAAUUUAUUCGAGGACCAUGAAUGAUUCAACUAUGGAUGGCACACUUCUACCUAAAAACUACAUUUAAUUAAAGAAGACUACACUAAUAACAAAUUCAUUAUUAUUGCGAAAGUUUAGUCGAAGUUGCGCGAAUGCAUACUCCGAGUUGAUUUUAAAAUUGGAAUUAUAUCACGCGAACGUGUACAUAAUCACAAUUGUAUUUUAAACGGCCCUAAAGGCUUUCCUACGAAUGUUUGUUAUUAAUGACUAGUUGUAACAUUAACGAGGGCCAUGGAAAAUUUAAUUAAAUGGCACUCCUCAAUUUCUAAGGAUUAAAAUAUUAAUUAAAUGAGGAUCAUGUAUUUUUAGAUUUUAUUUGGUACGGCACGUCUUAAUUUAUUCCAAAAAAGACUUUACUAUUUGAUGUUACUAUAAUUAGGUUACAUAAAAUACAUAUUCGAAUUAGAGAUUAGGUAUCGUGAUCAUACCAUAGAAACUGUACCCAUACCUACGAUAAGGCGAGCUACAAAAAGCAAUGGCAGAAGAGUCAUACCAAACUUGAUACACGUGAACAAUUACUGCAAUGAAUAGAGUAAAUUUAUCUUUAAGAGUGAACCAGAGUCAACUUAUCAUUUUUAAUAAACAAUAUGCAAACAAUCUGUCAAAAAGAAUUAUGAUUAAAAAAAAAAAGAUAGAUAAAUGAUUAUGAACUUCACCCAAAAUUCAAGAGCACAUGACAUCAUAGAGAAUCUUUUCUUUGUUAUGUAUUUAACAUAUGUCGAAGAAUAAGCUAGUUGCUUCAACCAAGACAAAAUGGCAUGGCUCACGGCUUAAUUAACUACUAUUUCGUCAAUUCAAAAAACUAAAAAUAGACUAGCAUAAUCCAUUCUCAUACAUGUUAAAUUUGCAGGGAAUAGAAAUAAUAGAAUCAACAAAUUCUGAAUCCAAAAUAUGGAUUAGCUGAAGUGCUAAAGAAACAAUGACCAAAUUGCAGACCAAACCGUAAAUGAAAAAAUUAUUUCAUCAACAAGAGAAUUAAAUUAAAUAACAGAAUUACCAGAUAUAUUCAAGCAAUGGCAGCAACAGUUAGUCUGAGAAAGAAAACUGGCUGGAAAAAAAACCUCGCCGGAAAUUUUGACGAACCUCGACGUCAACUCGACCUCGGCUCAAAAACCAAUUGCCCACAGAAUCAAUUUAUUGGGAAUGGAGAAAUCAUUGAAAUCAUCAUAAACGAACUCAAAAUCCCUCCUUUUCAUUUUCAAUGUACUGUAAUUCUCCGUGUUUUCUUUCAAUUUCAAAAGAAGAAUCAAUUCUUCAGGCAAUAAACACUGAAUUUGAGAUCUUCCUAGCUGAUAAAGAAAAUAUAAAAUCAGGAUAAUAUUUGGAUUUUUGAUGGGUGAGAGUGACCAAAAUGAGAUGCUUCUUUGUUCCUUUUCUUUUGGUAGGUGCCGUUGCUCAGUUAGAAUGUAGGAAUUAGGAGAUUAAAAACAUUGGGUAGCGUUUG
rnacentral:lncRNA from 1 species